UGACCCGAGACUUCUUCUUCCUCUCGAGUCACUCCGACCACAGGAGCACGCCGACUUUCCUCCCUUGUGCCUCUGCUGACCUUAGUGAGGAGGUGUAGGGUUCGGUGGAUUAGUGAGCACGAGGGUAGUAUUGUGCUGUGUGUUGUUUUUGGUUACCAGCAGCAAUAAUCCUUAUGUGGAUCAGUGAUCACGACUGUGAUUUUGAGGACCUUGACGCGAGACGAGUAUCUCGGAGUCGGAUUGGACCUUUCUAUUUUCGGAGGCGG